GUGGCAGCCGCCGCGGUAAUACGAAGGGGGCUAGCGUUGUUCGGAAUCACUGGGCGUAAAGCGCACGUAGGCGGAUUGUUAAGUCAGGGGUGAAAUCCCGAGGCUCAACCUCGGAACUGCCUUUGAUACUGGCGAUCUAGAGUCCGGGAGAGGUGAGUGGAACUGCGAGUGUAGAGGUGAAAUUCGUAGAUAUUCGCAAGAACACCAGUGGCGAAGGCGGCUCACUGGCCCGGAACUGACGCUGAGGUGCGAAAGCGUGGGGAGCAAACAGGAUUAGAUACCCCAGUAGUC
rnacentral:rRNA from 1 species